AGUGAACGCUGGCGGUAGGCCUAACACAUGCCAGUCGAACGGCAGCACAGUAAGAGCUUGCUCUUACGGGUGGCGAGUGGCGGACGGGUGAGGAAUACAUCGGAAUCUACUUUUUCGUGGGGGAUAACGUAGGGAAACUUACGCUAAUACCGCAUACGACCUACGGGUGAAAGCAGAGGAUCUUCGGACCUUGCGCGAUUGAAUGAGCCGAUGUCGGAUUAGCUAGUUGGCGGGGUAAAGGCCCACCAAGGCGACGAUCCGUAGCUGGUCUGAGAGGAUGAUCAGCCACACUGGAACUGAGACACGGUCCAGACUCCUACGGGAGGCAGCAGUGGGGAAUAUUGGACAAUGGGCGCAAGCCUGAUCCAGCCAUACCGCGUGGGUGAAGAAGGCCUUCGGGUUGUAAAGCCCUUUUGUUGGGAAAGAAAAGCAGCAGGUUAAUACCCCGCUGUUCUGACGGUACCCAAAGAAUAAGCACCGGCUAACUUCGUG
rnacentral:rRNA from 1 species